GCCAUAUCAUAUAGAAAGAAUGGUUCUCAUACAAUCACCAAAGUUAAGCAAUGUUGAGCCUGGUCAGUAGUGAGAUGGGUGACUGCUUGGGAAUACCAUAUGCUGUAAG